rnacentral:rRNA from 1 species
UACGUAGGGUGCGAGCGUUGUCCGGAAUUAUUGGGCGUAAAGGGCUCGUAGGCGGUCUGUCGCGUCGGUAGUGAAAACUCAGGGCUUAACCCUGAGCCUGCUUCCGAUACGGGCAGACUAGAGGUAUGCAGGGGAGAACGGAAUUCCUGGUGUAGCGGUGAAAUGCGUAGAUAUCUGGAGGAACACCGGUGGCGAAGGCGGCAUCCUGGACCAACACUGACGCUGAGGAGCGAAAGCCAGGGGAGCAAACGGG